ACACGUUAGGUUGCACAGAAGAAAGCCGAUAUAUGACAUAUAGCUGAUAUAGCAGCAGAGGACUGUUAUUUUGUUGAACAAACUAAUAGUGACGUCAACCCAGGUAACACACGACGUAACAGUUACGUAAUGUAUUCAUACUUUUUGGUAAUAUCAUGACUUACUAAUUGACAACGUAACUACGACGUCACAUGCCAGUAAUUUCAUUACCUUCAGAUUACCAUCUCACAACGUCGUCAGUACGAUCUCCUAACGUUAUAAGAUUACCAAGAACGUUCCAGAUACGUCCUCUAUUCAUAAUAUAUUGGUAAUUCCAUGACUUACUAGUGUAACCCAGGUCAUUAACCUAGGUCACUAGCAUUUAUUUGCAAUUUUAUAUAACUAUUAUUGUCAUAAAAUAUAUAAAUAUAUAAAAAAAGAAAGAAGAAAAAUGCAGUAAAAUUGCUUUAUAAAUUAAAUUUAGAAAUGCUCUUGAGCCGAUUGCUCAUUGGUGAGGUGAAAAGUUAGUCCCGCCCCUUGCCGAAAGUUAGCGGACAAGCAGGCAGAACGAGAGUGAACUUGAACGAGAGAAGACGCAGUUGCACAAAUUGUGAUUAAAAUCCUUUGUUUAAUAAUCCAGCGAUAGAUUAUUAACAAGUUGAAUUUAUAUCUGUGAUUAUAUAACUUUUAGAAACUCGACUGUUUGAGAAUAGUAUUGUGUGACGACGUUUGAACCGGACAUGAUGAGACUGACGCAAUAAGAUAUAAUAUACAUCUUUUCCGGGGAGAAACAACUUUAUUUUUGUUUUCUGAUUUAUACUUCUCCUUGGCUGGGUUUUUUUUUCUUUGUGAGAAUUGUGUUCCUGAAUCCUGUCCUUGCUGAAUAUUCGCAUUCCGGUCGGGACUGGCGAGCCAUUCCAUCCUCUCGUACCUGGAAACAGAGAAAAGAGCGUGAAGUCUGCCGAACUGGUAGGAUCAAACAAAAGAGCGCGAAGUCUGCCGAACUGGUAGGAUCAAACAAAAGAGCGUGAAGCCUGCCGAACUGGUAGGAUCAAACUAUUUUUGCUUUGAUUUUUCUGUUAUUUCUCCCGAGUUUUUUCUAUCUGGAUCUUCGGUGGAUAGAAACAUUGUUUUUUCUCUCUCCUGGAUUAAAUUUCUUCUUCCACUUUUUGAUGAACAUUGCUUUAUACUCUUGAAUUUGAAAUUGAGACACUGAACUUAAACUCAACUGGACAUUUAGACUGAGUUGAAUGCAAAAACUGAAGCUCAUUGUGAAACAGAUUUCAAAAAUAUUUCAAAUCUGAACGUCUCAAAACUGAGACACUGAUUUUGAAAUUGUGUGUGAAAUUUAUUAUUUUACUGUUUUGUUUAUUUUUAUUCUGAAUCUGAACCUUGAUUUGGGUUUUUGAAUUUGUAUACCCUUUUGUUAUUUUGGGUUUUAUUAUUCAAUUCACUUGUUAUUUCAUUGCAAUUUAAAGAGAAGGAUUGAAGACAAAAAAUAAUCAAUCAAAACAAUAUACUACAUUCUCUUCCAUA